rnacentral:rRNA from 1 species
AGUGAACGCUGGCGGUAGGCCUAACACAUGCAAGUCGAACGGCAGCACAGUAAGAGCUUGCUCUUACGGGUGGCGAGUGGCGGACGGGUGAGGAAUACAUCGGAAUCUACUUUUUCGUGGGGGAUAACGUAGGGAAACUUACGCUAAUACCGCAUACGACCUACGGGUGAAAGCAGGGGAUCUUCGGACCUUGCGCGAUUGAAUGAGCCGAUGUCGGAUUAGCUAGUUGGCGGGGUAAAGGCCCACCAAGGCGACGAUCCGUAGCUGGUCUGAGAGGAUGAUCAGCCAGACUGGAACUGAGACACGGUCCAGACUCCGACGGGAGGCAGCAGUGGGGAAUAUUGGACGAUGGGCGCAAGCCUGAUCCAGCCAUACCGCGUGGGUGAAGAAGGCCUUCGGGUUGUAAAGCCCUUUUGUUGGGAAAGAAAAGCAGCAGGUUAAUACCCCGCUGUUCUGACGGUACCCAAAGAAUAAGCACCGGCUAACUUCGUG